rnacentral:miRNA from 1 species
GUCUACAUUAAUGAAAAGUAUC